rnacentral:ncRNA from 1 species
UAGUCGUAAAAUGUUAGUUUGAUUCUAACUAAUUUAUUAAUUUUAAGGAUUUUAUACAUGUGAGUUUUUGCUUAUUAUUUAAUUGAUUUAAAUUUUUGCAGUAUUUAGCAUUAAAAAUUAAGUUUUUUUUGAUUUAGAUAUUCUUUAUAGAAUUGUAUUAGUUUGUGCCAGCCUACGCGGUUAUACAAUAAAUUCUAUUUAAUAUUUUUGGGUGAUAGAAGUUAAAUUAUUUUUGAAUUUAUUAUAUUUAUUUUUAGGUGAAAUUUAAAUUUUAAUUAAUUUUUAAUUUUGAUUCUUUUAAAUUCUUUUAUUAAACUAGGAUUAGAUACCCUAUUAUUUUGAAUGUUAAUUGUUGUCCGGGUAGUAAUAGUUAUGUUCUUUAAACCCAAAGAAUUUGGCGGUGUUUUAGUCUAUUUAGAGGAAUUUGCCCCGUAAUCGAUAAUCCUCGUUUUAUCUUUCUUAAUUUUGUUUAUCAGUAAGUAUACCGCCGUUAUAGGUUUAUUUUUUUAGAAUUACAAUUUACUUAAAAAACAAUUAUUUUUUAUUUCAGGUCAAGGUGCAGCUUAUAAUUAAGGGGAGGUGAAUUACAAUAUUAUUUUAAUAUAUGGAUAUUUGAUUGUAAGAUUUAAUUGAAGGUGGAUUUAAUAGUAAUUUUGAUUAUUAUGUCAAUUUGAUUUUGGCUCUAAGAUAAGUACAUAUUGCCCGUCGCUCUCAAUUUAUUUGAGAUAAGUCGUAACACAGUAGAUGUACUGGAAAGUGUGUCUUUGAAGUAUA